CCUACGGGGGGCAGCAGUGGGGAAUAUUGGACAAUGGGCGAAAGCCUGAUCCAGCCAUGCCGCGUGUGUGAAGAAGGCCUUCGGGUUGUAAAGCACUUUCAGUGGGGAAGAAAGCCUUGGGGCUAAUACCCUCGAGGAAGGACAUCACCCACAGAAGAAGCACCGGCUAACUCCGUGCCAGCAGCCGCGGUAAUACGGAGGGUGCGAGCGUUAAUCGGAAUUACUGGGCGUAAAGCGCGCGUAGGCGGUCUGAUAAGCCGGUUGUGAAAGCCCCGGGCUCAACCUGGGAACGGCAUCCGGAACUGUCAGGCUAGAGUGCAGGAGAGGAAGGUAGAAUUCCCGGUGUAGCGGUGAAAUGCGUAGAGAUCGGGAGGAAUACCAGUGGCGAAGGCGGCCUUCUGGACUGACUCUGACGCUGAGGUGCGAAAGCGUGGGUAGCAAACAGGAUUAGAUACCCCAGUAGUC
rnacentral:rRNA from 1 species